rnacentral:rRNA from 1 species
UACGAAGGGGGCUAGCGUUGCUCGGAAUCACUGGGCGUAAAGCGCACGUAGGCGGAUUGCUAAGUCAGGGGUGAAAUCCUGGAGCUCAACUCCAGAACUGCCUUUGAUACUGGCGAUCUUGAGUCCGGGAGAGGUGAGUGGAACUGCGAGUGUAGAGGUGAAAUUCGUAGAUAUUAGGAAGAACACCAGUGGCGAAGGCGGCUCACUGGCCCGGUACUGACGCUGAGGUACGAAAGCGUGGGGAGCAAACAGG